AAUGAACGCUGGCGGCAUGCCUAACACAUGCAAGUCGAACGAGAUCCUUCGGGGUCUAGUGGCGCACGGGUGCGUAACGCGUGGGAAUCUACCCUUGGGUUCGGAAUAACAGUGAGAAAUUACUGCUAAUACCGGAUAAUGUCGCAAGACCAAAGAUUUAUUGCCCAAGGAUGAGCCCGCGUAAGAUUAGCUAGUUGGUGGGGUAAAAGCCUACCAAGGCGACGAUCUUUAGCNGGUCUGAGAGGAUGAUCAGCCACACUGGGACUGAGACACGGCCCAGACUCCUACGGGAGGCAGCAGUGGGGAAUAUUGGACAAUGGGCGAAAGCCUGAUCCAGCAAUGCCGCGUGAGUGAUGAAGGCCUUAGGGUU
rnacentral:rRNA from 1 species